ACGAACCCCGUCAGGUCCGGAAGGAAGCAGCGGUAAGUAAAACCUCUUAUGUGCCGCGAGGGUGCCUGAUCUGAGCUAACUGGUUGGGUGCCGCCUGGAAGAUCCUUUCGAAAAUAGGUGCACGG
rnacentral:SRP_RNA from 1 species